AACUCUCUCGGUGUCAAAUUUGCGCGGCCUUAUAUACCCUUUUUGGACAAAGGCUUCUUGGAUAUCCGAAUUUGAUCGCCUCAGUUUGAAUCUGGGCUCUCUGAUUGGUUGAUAAAAUGGCGGGAAUUAUAAAUUACACAGAUAAUCGCGCUUUCGGGUGUCAAAUUCCUUCGAGAAAUUCGUAAUUUGAUGUUAAAGUUUGGAAA